AGGACUUACGGUAACUAACUUUUUCUGAUUGUGUCAUAUUCGUUCUUAUUUUACAAACUAUGGUUUGUUGUGCCCUGCCAGCGGCCCUCGACAUGACGAAGUUACAGUUUCUAAAUGUAUAUUUGACCGAACGGUUGAUGUCAGCUGCCUAAUAGAUAUGAGACCAUAUUAAAAUACAAGGACGAAAUACUGUAAUACACUGAAAGAGCGAAUGAUCAACUGAGACGCAAACUGCACAGAAAUGGGAUUCCAUUGCCAGACCGAGAGUCCUCGACUCUUAUAGAGCUUGAGGAGGGAGCCAUUGGGUUGAAGCAUGAACCAGAACCCAGGCAAACUAUGGAGAAACAGGAGGGAAGGACCAGGAAGGAGGAAAAGCAACUUAGAGGACUAGACUCUGUCUAGAUGUCUCUCCUUACAAUGGAAAUGAUGGCUAUGAGCAGAACACACCUCAUUCAGUCAGUUCCAAACGCACACUGGGGAGAGUAGAGAGGGUGGCUCUCUGUCCAGCUCAUCAAUAUCCAAACCAAUCAAAACAGAGACUGAAGGACUGGGUGUUUGUCCAUUUGAUCCGUCAAGUGACCCCAAUACAUUCUCUUCGUCAGUGAACCUUGACCUUUCGGCAGGACAGAAUGAGAACAGUGUAAGUAUGAUGGGGGUGGAAGGUGGUGAAGGACUACUGUCAGGGUUUGAGGCGCUACAGAUACCACUACACAUGGAACAGUCCCUUCAAAAUCACUACAACACAGCAUUGUGUUGCAAGGUGUGUGGGAAACCCUGUAGACAUAUGGGCCAUUUAAACGCACACAUGCAAAUGCACAUGAAAGAGAAGCCAUUACUCUGCGGGGUUUGUGGUAAGUGCUUUAGCUCGCCGGGGAGGUUGAAAGGGUGUUAGCGGAUUCACACAGGGGAGAAGCUCUAUCAGUGCCAUAUCUGUAGGAAACGGUGCAAUCAGACCGCACACCUGAAAGUGCAUCCGAGUGUCCACACAGGAGAAAAACUGUUCAGUUGUCCUGUGUGUGGCAAGUGCUUCAGCCACUCCGACAAAAUUAAACGUCACCUCCAGACCCACAGCCGUGAAGCCGUGAAGGCACCUAGGCUUGUGAUUUUUUUUCUCUUUCUCUCAAAGAGCUAGGGAUUCUGCGACUUUCUUAGAGAAUGUUCUCUGAGUAACACUUCUCCAUGCCAUAGUCUCUUUCUCUCAUGCAAUAGGUUUUGUAUUGCAUUAUAGUCAAUUUAGUGUUUCUUUUUGUACAUGUCACUGAAUGGAGUUUUUGUGAAUCUUUAAAAACACAACAUUUUAUGAGUUAGUUGCUAGUCUUUCUGAAUUAUACUGAACAAAAAUAUGGUGUGGCAUAUCAAGAAGCUUAUUAAAGAGCAAGGUUCAUUAGACAGGUGCACCUUGUGCUGGGGACAAUAAAAGGCCUCUGUAAAAUGGGCAGUUUUGUCACACAACACAGUGCUACAGAUGUCUCAUGUUUUGAGGGAGCGUGCAGUUGACAUGCUGUCUGAAGGAAUGUCCACCAGAGCUGUUGCCAGAAAAUGUUAUGUUAAUUUCUCUACCAUAAGCUGGCUCCAGUGUUGUUUUAGAGAAUUUGGCAGUACAUCCAACUGGCUGUUUAAUCAGCUUAUUAAUAUGCCACACCUGUCAGCUGGAUGGAUUUUCUUGGCAACGGAGAAAUGCUCACUAAUGCAGUUGCUUCACAAAUUUGUGCUCAACAUUUUAGAGAAAUUAGAGAAAUUGUGCGAAUGGAAACAUGGCACCAACACAUGUUGCGUUUAUAUUUUUGUUCAGUAUAACUGUGUUACUUGUUCGCGAGGGUUGGUCCUGAGCUAGGCUCUGCUGCACAUACAGGUAACUGCUAAAAUAAUGAAAGACGGCGCCGACAGACAUGGCAGCUCUGCUUCUAGAUCCUAAGCAACUUUGCGAUAUUACAGCACUGUUGGAGCUAGGAACACAACCAUUUCGCUACACCUGCAAUAACAUCUGCUAAACAUGUGUGUGUGACCAAUAACAUCUGCUAAACAUGUGUAUGUGACCAAUAAAAUGUGAUUCAAUUUAACGGAAAUACUUCAGUAAAUGAGCAAUACGAAGUAUAUUGAAAACAGGUGCUUCCACACAGGUGUGGUUCCUGAGUUAAUUACCCAAUUAACAUCCAAUCAUGCUUAGGGUCAUGUGAAAAAUGCUGGGCAGGCCAUUAUUUUGGCUACCAUGGCAAUGUCCCCAUCCACCGAGCACGAGUGUUCAGUGAAUGGUUUGAUGAGCAUGAAAACAAUUUAAACCAUUUGCCAUGGCUGUCUCAGUCACCAGAUCCCAACCCAAUUGAACACUUAUGGGAGACUCUGGAGCACCGCCAGAGACAGCAUUUUCAACCACCAUCGACAAAACACCAUAUUAUGGAUUUUCUUGUGGAAGUAUGGUGUUGCAUCCCUCCAAUAGAGUUCCAGACACUUGUAACAUCUAUGCCAAUGUCCAUUGAAGUUGUUCUGGCUCGUGGUGCCAACGCCCCAUUAAGAUAUUUUAUGUUGCAGUUACCUGUAUAUUCACUAUAGCAAAGAUCUGUGGCCCAUUGUUUGGAAGUGAAACAGACAUUUUUGUCAGACCCAGAUCAAUGCUUCUCCUGGAAUUAAAAGUACUUUAGAUACUGUGUAUAUAUAUAUAUAAGGUCCUAGUAUUAAACAUGUCAUCUCCAAUAGUUCACUGUAAACAGUAAUGAGUUAGAAUGGUCCCCUGGAGGUUUUUGUCUAGUUCCCGGUUUGUCCUGGGGACGUCACUUGAUGGGAAUUAUUAUUUAACAUGUCCUCACCACCUGUGAGGUUUUGCUGUUUAUAGUGUGCGGAUUCGUCAAUUCUUUGUCGAUACAUUCUGUCUGUAUAUUGUGUUUAUCAUCUAUUUUCACCGUUUCACCAAAUCAAAUUCCGGAUAUAUGUAAAUGUCCUUUGUGAAUAAAGGUAACUCUGUUUCUGAAUGUUA